rfam:Peptoanaerobacter stomatis strain OBRC8 ctg120007290643, whole genome shotgun sequence.
AUAAUGAUACUCCCUUACAGCCACAGUCCGAGCGUUAGAAGCGUCGCAGGCAAUGGGUAGGGCUGGAUGAGAACCAUGCAGGGGUGAAAUUCCCGUGA